UAGGGGAUCUUCCACAAUGGACGAAAGUCUGAUGGAGCAACGCCGCGUGAGUGAAGAAGGGUUUCGGCUCGUAAAACUCUGUUGUUAAAGAAGAACAUAUCUGAGAGUAACUGUUCAGGUAUUGACGGUAUUUAACCAGAAAGCCACGGCUAACUACGUGCCGG
rnacentral:rRNA from 1 species